GCUGGCGGCAUGCCUAAUACAUGCAAGUCGAACGCUCCUAGCAAUAGGGGAGUGGCGGACGGGUGAGUAACGCGUGGGAACCUGCCCUUGAGUGCGGGAUAACCGAGGGAAACUUCGGCUAAUACCGCAUGCGCCCCGGGCAACUGGGGGAAAGAUUUAUCGCUCGAGGAGGGGCCCGCGUCGGAUUAGCUAGUUGGUGGGGUAAUGGCCUACCAAGGCGAUGAUCCGUAGCUGGUCUGAGAGGAUGAUCAGCCACACUGGGACUGAGACACGGCCCAGACUCCUACGGGAGGCAGCAGUAGGGAAUAUUGGACAAUGGGGGCAACCCUGAUCCAGCAAUGCCGCGUGAGUGAUGAAGGCCUUAGGGUUGUAAAGCUCUUUCGCGCGCGACGAUGAUGACGGUAGCGCGAGAAGAAGCCCCGGCUAACUUCGUGCCAGCAGCCGCGGUAAUACGAAGGGGGCGAGCGUUGUUCGGAAUUACUGGGCGUAAAGGGCGCGCAGGCGGCUCU
rnacentral:rRNA from 1 species